rnacentral:rRNA from 1 species
UACGUAGGGUCCGAGCGUUGUCCGGAAUUACUGGGCGUAAAGAGCUCGUAGGUGGUUUGUCACGUUGUUCGUGAAAACUCACAGCUUAACUGUGGGCGUGCGGGCGAUACGGGCAGACUAGAGUACUGCAGGGGAGACUGGAAUUCCUGGUGUAGCGGUGGAAUGCGCAGAUAUCAGGAAGAACACCAGUAGCGAAGGCGGUACUCUGGGCCGGAACUGACGCUGAGGAGCGAAAGCGUGGGGAGCGAACAGG